CGCUUCCAGGCCGGCCAUGUAGAAAGACAGGCAGUCAGCUCUCCAGUCUGUAUGCCCAAUGCUAAACCUCUUGCCUAGUUUGCUUCUUUUUAAGGCCUGGGAUCACCGCAGAACUAAGUGUCUGAGAAGUUCACAUAUUUUCUGCCUUCGGAGAGUACGACUUGAAAUGGGCUAACAGACUAUCAACCAUUGACCUGCUCAAACUACCAAAGUGGGGCAAGAGGGACUCUUCAAGAAGUCCAGAAUUACCUUCUAGAGACAGCUCAGAAUCAAAACUGGGUAUGUUUUCUGUCUUCUGUGUCUGUUCAUUCAUGGAAGGAAGCAGAGUACCUGGGGCAGAACCAAUCUCUUGCCUACUUGAGUUGGUAGACUGGGAACUAUUCCAUAAGGAGGAAGUCCUGUACGUCUUGAAUCCCCACUGGAGAAAGUAAUUGUCAGAAGACAUCUGUGGCUGAGCAGAAAAGCCAUGCAACAGUGUUUUUCCUGGUCUCGGGAAAUGUUUUCGAAGUUGUGUAGCUAUAAUGAAGCUACUCAAUUUAACUGAAUUGAACCAUCUGGGUAUCUGUUGGGCUGACAAAGCCAUUUUUCUUAAAGUAGCCUACAAAGGAAAUAUAUAACCAUCAAAAAAGAGAAACUUAUUUGACUUAAAUGUUUAGAAUUGUAUUCAAACAACAAAAUAAUAAACUGGAAAAUCUUUUUUUCUAAUUCAAAGAUGUUUAAUAGACUUAGAUGAUUGGAGUAGUCCCAUGUUAUUUAACCACAGGAAAAGCCAAAAACAAGGCAAUCCCAGUUACAAACCAAAGGAUGGGAACUUUUGAACAGGAAAAAUAAAGAUUCUUUACAAUGAGAAAAAAAGCAAAACCAAUUGUAUAAGAAAACCAUUUAAAACAAAAAUCUGUUAAUAUUUAAAUUACAGCUGAACCCAAUCAUCUCUGUUAGUUUAAUAUUUAAAGGAAAUAAGGUGAUGCAAUGAAGUGUUCUUGAAAUUUGGUUUGUAGGACAUUUAAGAAACAAACUGUUGAUCAAGACACUGAAUUAUGCAAAUGAAUUUAAUGUCUAUGCAUUACUCACAAAAUAAAAAACAAGAAGAAA